AUAUUUCCGGUUCCCGUACGAUCAGUGAAGUUAAGAAACAUCGAGCUUGGUCAGUACCUAGAUGGGUUAGCGUUUGGGAAUAGUGGGUGCUGUAAG